CAUUAUCUCUUGAGGGAUAUUCUUUUAUUGAUCUUUGUUCUUCAUGUUCGUUUGUAUCUCUAUCUAUUACCUUUUCUUAAAAAGAAAGUUGAAACUCUUAUUGUACUAUAUAUGGCUAUGACCCAAGUGGGGGACACUUUAUUAAUGGAUAGAGUUUAUGGAUAUUGUAUGAUAUUUGUUUAGUGCAGGGACACCAUAGUUGAUCUACUUGUGUUGCCUAUAUUUGCCUUUGAUGUAAUUAUAUGUAUGGACUGGUUGACAUCACGUUAUGCUUUGAUUGAUUGUUAUGCUAAGUUUAUAUGUUUCUAUUUUCCUAAAAAACUACCUUCAAUGUGUAAGGGUGUGACUCCAGUGACUCAAGAAAAAAUGAUAUUUUAUGAAAGACACGUUGAAUGGUUAAUUAUGGGUGUUUGAAUUUUAUUGCGACUGUUCAUGAUGCACGAGCUGAAAAUGUUACUAUUGAGAGUAUUUUUAUUGUUUGAGAAUUUAUUGGUGUGUUUUAGAUUAUUUGCCGAGCUACCUAGGUUGUUCAUAGAUCAUCUUAUUAUCACUUGUUCGAUUUUCUCACUCAUUUGACAUUAUUUUUUAUGACUUUUAUCACGUUCGAGGACGAACAUUAUUUUAACGAAGGAGAAUGUAAUAACCCAAUCUUUUAAUGAGGAGUAAAUGAGUAAUUUAGCCUAUACUAUUAAUAUUAAUUAAUAUAAUUAAAAUGAGCAAUCCAAAAGUCAAAACCUCUCUCUAUUCAAUUUUUUUCCUCUCACGUUUCGGUUCAAUGGACUAGGAUAUUAGGGCUUUCUUUUAUUUUUGGUUCAAUUAUUUCUGAAAGAGAGAAACAAGUCUAUUGACAAAAUUUAGCCAGUUCAUAGUAAUCGGCUUUCAGAUUGAGACUAUUGGAGGUUGUUUGGUUUGUGUUCUACACGUUGCAAGGUUGUGGAAAACUUGUUACCGAGGCAAGUGAGACUUUAAGCUUUGGGUGCUUGCUUUUCAAAUUUAUUUUAAAAAGUGUAUUGUUGUCUGCCUGGUCCAUGUGUUGGGACGAGUGUGUGCUUGGCAGAAUCGGUGUCCUUCAAGGCCAGUCGUAUAUACUUUAUGUUUAGGAAUACCAAUUUUCCAGUUAUAAAUUAUUUCGUGAUGUGAUAUGAUUGUGUACUGUGAGAUUGGGGCAUUGUGUAUGCUUCUUAAUUCCAUUGAGGCAUUGUGUAUGCUUCCCUUGAGCAUUGUGUAUGUUUGUUGAUUUGAUAUGGGGCAUUGUGUAUGCUUUCCUUGAGCAUUGUGUAUGCUUGUUGAUUUGAUAUGAGACAUCGUGUAUGCUUUCCUUAAGCCAGUGUUCAGAGAUGCGACCGCAUCAUCGCAUUAUGUGCUGAUGCAAUGCGAUGCGGGCUCCCAGCGAGUAGCAUCUUUGAUGCGGUGCGAUCUGAGAAUUGCAGGUGUAUCAAGCCCUGUUGCGUGAUGCGAUGCGAUGGGCGAUGCGAUCGCAUUAUGGAUUUUUUUUUAUUUUUGGGCAAUUUUAAAUUAAAAAAAGGGUUUGAAGUGAAAAUUUUUUAUGGCAAUUUUUAAAUUAAAAAAAAAAAGGUCAGAAGUUUAAGAAAUGACCGAUUAAAAAUUUUAGGAUUUUUUUUUACCUGCUUUCUCUCUUCUCCACUUCCACUGAAGCUGCGCUGCAACAACUUUUUCUCCAUUGAAGCUGCGACCAAGUGGAGUUGAUGAGCGUCGUUAUGGUUUAAGGGGUAGUACUUCCAGCUCAUACGAUAAGGAAAAAGAAGUUGCUACUUCAACAGGAGAUGUGGAAGAUGAGGAAGUUGAAGAUGAUGAGCAUUAUGUUGAUACUCAAGGAAUAGAAGAAUUGGACAAUCUUAAUGAACUAGAAGAGCUUUAGAUUGAACCACUAUUAAUUUAUAUUUGAUUUUUCUUUUUUUGGGGGGUUUGUUUUGUUUUGUUGAACUGAUUUGUUGGUGUUUCAUUAGAACUUUUGCUUAAAUAUAUUGUCUUUAUUGUUGAUUAUAUAGUUGUUGUGGUCUUUUCAGUUAUAACUUACUAUUUGAAUGCUCUAUAGGUAUUUUUUUUUAUUAAAUUGUGCUUCACUUCAAUAAUGCGGUCACAUCGCAUCACGCAUCGCAUAAUGCAUGAUGCAGAGUCUUGUCGCUUUUUUUUGCAUCACACUUCCCUGAACACUGCCUUGAGCAUUGUGUAUGCUUGUUGAUUUGAUAUGAGAAAUUGUGUAUGCUUCCCUGAGUAUUCUAUAUACUCCUGAUAUGCGUUGUGUUUGUUCCCAAAACUCCUAGUGUUAGCUAAUUACUUUAACUACAAAUUAUGAUAAGUGCUUUGUAUGAAUUGUAUUGAGGUAUAUGGUUCUUGAUGAAGGAUUAUUGGGCCUCAUUUGUCACCUUAUUAUGAUAUAAUUUCUGUGUGUAAUAAUUUUAUGUUCUUGAUGUUGUAGUAUUUUCUAAUACUUGUCCCAGGAGUACUUAAAGUAGCGAGCCAAUGAUCUUACAUAUUUAUUGAAAUAUUAUUCACUAUUUAUUGAUGCAUUGAAGUUGUACAUAUUUUACCUUAGAGUUUAUUAUUUGGUAAAGUGUAAGGAAGAUUGGUUCUCCCGACAAGUGGUGUUAGCGGGUGUCAGUCACGUCGAGAGAUUAUUUUGGGAUGUGAUAUGCACUCAUGUCACUUUGCUCGUUGGUUAUUUUAAGUAUGACCUUGUCGAAAAAGCUAUGUGACUCUUCAGUGAGUUGGAAAGAAAUACGGAAUUUAAUGAUAUUGCAUUUUACAAUGUUGUCAUUAAUGGAUUGUGCAAAAAUGGUAAACUCCGCGAAGCUCAUGCUAUUUUUGAGAAGCUUUCUUCCAUUGGAUUGCUUCUAUACAAUUAAUGAUAACUGGACUUUGUCUUGAAGGAUUAUUUGAUGAAGUUAAAGGUAUUCUAAGUAAAAUGGAAGACAGUGGUUGUCCUCCAAACAACGUAACUUACAAUGUUAUUGUGCAAGGAUUUCUCAGGUGCAACAAAAUUAGUGAAAUGGUAUUAUCUUUCAUGAAGGAAAUGACUGGAAGAGCUUCUCAUUUGAUGCAACUACAACUGGGUUUUUAAUAAAUGUCUUAAGGAAAUGGCAUCCAAUGGAGUUGCAGAAGUUGAUAAAAUGGCAAUUAGAACAUUGUUGACUCUCCGGGCAGGCUUACGGAGGAGAUUACGUGAAGAAAGUCAUAAAACUGGGAAGAUUAUCCAAGCAACGGGAGUUGGGAAAUUUAUGGCAGAAGAGGUUAAUUUGAUGGCUCUUCUCAUAUAAAAGAAAUAUGCAGUAUUGGCA